UGGGGAAUAUUGCGCAAUGGGCGAAAGCCUGACGCAGCGACGCCGCGUGAGGGAUGAAGGUUUUCGGAUCGUAAACCUCUGUCAGAAGGGAAGAAACUACAUUGUGCUAAUCCCCCUUGUACUGACGGUACCUUCAAAGGAAGCACCGGCUAACAUCUCGUG
rnacentral:rRNA from 1 species